CGCCGGUAAGGUGAUAUGAACCGUUAUAACCGGCGAUUUCCGAAUGGGGAAACCCAGUGUGAUUCGUCACACUAUCAUUAACUGAAUCCAUAGGUUAAUGAGGCGAACCGGGGGAACUGAAACAUCUAAGUACCCCGAGGAAAAGAAAUCAACCGAGAUUCCCCCAGUAGCGGCGAGCGAACGGGGAGGAGCCCAGAGCCUGAAUCAGCAUGUGUGUUAGUGGAAGCGUCUGGAAAGGCGCGCGAUACAGGGUGACAGCCCCGUACACAAAAGCGCAUGUGCUGUGAGCUCGAUGAGUAGGGCGGGACACGUGGUAUCCUGUCUGAAUAUGGGGGGACCAUCCUCCAAGGCUAAAUACUCCUGACUGACCGAUAGUGAACCAGUACCGUGAGGGAAAGGCGAAAAGAACCCCGGCGAGGGGAGUGAAAAAGAACCUGAAACCGU
rnacentral:rRNA from 1 species